rnacentral:lncRNA from 1 species
UUAUUGUUUAUUAAUGCUUACAAAAAGAAAAACACUUACAUAGGUCAUUAUAUUUCGUCCUCGUUUCGUAAAUAAGAUAACAACGUAGUCUCUCUAUUCAUACCAAACACCACAAUUUUUAAAGUAAACAAUCUGCCCGCUCCGGUCCUAUGCAUUUCUAGGAUGGUCCCCAUGCCCAUUGAAUUCAUUCUUUGUUUUCGUGCCGUACAUUGCGUAUCGUUACAAGUGAGUUCAAAUUUGUAUUUUCCAUUUUUUUCACAAUUAGUUUCUUUUUAAUGUGUAACUAUAGUUGGCGUAAGUCAUAUUAAGGACUCAAAAGAUACGUUAUCCUAGUGUAGACCCUGAUAUCCGCUAUACCGGACUGCAUAUUUUGAAACACAGGACGUCAGGGGCAUACGGUUGAAACAAGUGCUUUAUCAUUGGUCAGGUGAUUUAUGGGCGUUGCGUUCGUUUUAAAUAUUCUAGAAGAAGAAGACAUAAUCUAACCUCAAAUUCAAUGAUUGUUGAUUUUGGCGUUUGAUGAAGUUUGAUCGUUAUUCGUUUGAUUAUUUGAUUAUUAUUGCUAGUCGUUUGAUCGUUUCGUUGUUGUUGGGUUGUCUUUGAGAGGGAUAUCUUAAAAUUUAGUGAGGAAAAUGGCUAUGAAUGUCGUGUACAAGCUGAAAAUGAAAAAAAGAAGGAAAUAAUUAUGCGUAUUAACUUAACCACUCCACAAGAUGCUGAUAAAUAUCUAUCAGCAUACAAAUUGUAUUCAGGGACAAACUGGAUUCGAAAUGGGGAGUUAAAAGAUCCGCAAAGAGUUGUGUAUCAUAAAUAUUAUGUGUGCCAAUAUAGUUCAAUAAAUAAGAAAAGAAGUUGUACCAAGAGUGAAAUGAAUACAGGAUGUGUUGCAACAAUAGAUGUUAAAAUUUAAAAAAUUACAACUAAAACAAAAAGAAAUGAUGAAUACCUAAAGUUAGAUAUUCCUUUAUGUGGUAUUAUAAAUUUUAAUUUAAAUCAUAACCAUAAUCUUGGCACAAGUGGUAGUUUGAAAUUUAUGAAGCUUUCUGAAGAGACUAAAAAGAUGUUUGAAGGAUAUUUUGAGAAUGGAAUGAGCCCUGCCGAAAGUUUGUUAUUAUUGGAAAAAAAUGGCAGAUGUCUCUCUAAAUCCUACUAAAAAUGCACUUUAUUACCUUCAUAAAAAAUGGACUUUAAGGCAUCUUGGACAGGUAUUUGAGCCAAUACCAAAACUUCAAGAAAAAAAAAGUUUUUUCAUUAAUCAGGAAUAAAUAUUGAAAUUGCAACAGACCCGUGGGCAGUAUUGGUAGUUACGCCAAUCAUGAAAAGAGCACAGGAACUGCAGUCCUCCAAGGAACUGAUAUUUUGCGACAGUACAUCAAGUUGAGACACCAGUGAGACCACAGUUACUGUGUUACUAACAGCUGGUGCCAUUCCCAUUGCGAUACGUUUGCAUGAUGGGCAAACUACUGAAAGUUAUGAACAAGCCUAUGGAUUGCUAAACAGACAUUUCCAAACUCUUUUGGAGGGAAUUUUGUAAGUAAAUUAUUAAAUAGUAAUUUAACUUUAUAUUUUUUAAUUUGGCUUCUAUGACAUUUUAACCUUUUAAAAUUAAAAACCACAAAGAUACCUACAUACAUGACAAUUUACGCUUACUGAAUUAGAUCAAAUUUAAAUGUAAUUAAGGGAAGGAAUCUCUCUUAACACAUGUAUGUACGCCUUUUUUAUGAAUAGCUGUACCACCCAUAAUACUCUAAAAGAAUAGUUAGAAACUAGGCAAAAAUUACUUGUAUUUAAAUAGAAUAUUUUUAAAUACACUAUGUGAUAAUGAUAAUAUUAUAAACAUAUAUUUAUUUUUAGCUAAUUAUUUUCACUAAAAAAACAACACAAAUGAAUCUUUUGUAAGUACAUUGUAUGUUGAUUUAUUCAUAUGGGGUUAUGGUUUAAUAUUUUGGUGUAUUAGUUUUUUUAAUUAAUUAUUAUAUUGGUGGUUAUGGUUUUAUGUUGUUUCUUCUAGGUAUUGGUUAAUAAUAGAUAAUAGAUAUAAUAGAGCCUAUAUGUUUUAUGACAGACGACUCCAAAUCUGAAAAGACAGCUCUUAAAAAUACAUUUCCAAAUUCUACUCAGCUACUGUGUUUUUUUCACGUGCUUCAAAAAGAAUGGCGAUGGCUUUGUGAAAACAAAAAUAAGAUUUCCAUGGAAAAGCGUCAAAUCUUAAUGCAUUCGUUUCGUAAGGUAUAAUAUAAGAGUAUUACACAAUGUAAAUAAAUUAUGUUAAUACAUUUAUUUUAUAAUGCUUACGCUAUAGUGCUCAUUUUUUAACUAUUUUUAUUUUUUUUUUUACUUACUUACUUCAUUUUAUUUAUUGUUAAUAAGAAAUUUACAUAUUUCUAUAAUUCUAUCAAUUGUUUACGUAUAUUUAAAUAUAUUAGGCAUAAAUGGCAAUAAAAAGCAUUAGGUAUAUUAAGAAACAUUAUAAAAAGUCCGAAAAAUAAAUGGAAUGCACAUUGAUAUAGCGUUGCUUUUUUUUAGAUUAUGUAUUCUGAAAGUAAUGAAGAUCUAAAUGAACACAUGUUAAAGCUGCAGAAAGAAGCGGAGGAUUGUCCAAACUUUUGGGCAAGAUUUGAAAUUUAUUUUUCUAGAGGACAAGAGUGGUUGUAUCUUCACAGGAAACAUUGGGUCAUAAGAGGGAACAAUAAAAACAAUUACGCAGAAGUAACCAUCAAAAUACUUAAGGACAUUAUUCUUCAUCGUACAAAAGGUUACAAUUGUGUAGCAUUAGUUGAUUUCAUUGCUUUUGUCUGGGAGGAGUAUUUUAAAUGCAAGUUAUUAGAUUUUGCCCAUGGAAGAAGAAACGAAAUAAAAAAUAAUUACUUAAAGCUAUGUUCAAAAGUGAAUUAUUUUAAACUGGAAGAUAUUGUAACUUUGGGAGAUGGAUUGUAUCAAAUUAGUAGUAGUUCUAAUAUCUUUUUAAAAUACAUUAUUGACGUGCCAAUUGGUGUAUGCAGUUGUCCUGCAGGCAUAAAUGGGUCAUUUUGUAAGCACCAAGCUUACCUACAUAAACAUUUAAAUAUUCCAUUUUUGAAUGAUCCCUGCUAUUAAUUUUCAAGAAAGAGCAUCACUUGGGCGGCUAGCUCUUGGCGAGAAAUGGCCCGAAUCCAAAUGGUUUUUGGCCCUAAGUGAGUUUUCAGAAAAUGCAGAUAAUAUACAAGAUUGUGGUUAUCAAGAAAACUAUCUCGAAACUAGAAUCGAUGCACCAUCUUCAUUAUUUGACGAGACAAUAAUGGAGAUUGAUGACACGUUGGAAGAUGACAACAAAAAGGAAGAUGUAAUUGAAGAAAUUAAAGAAGAAUGUAAAAAAUUUGAUAAAAUGCUUAAGGAAAUACCUUUAAAAGCAUUAGAAAGACUUGCAAACAAACUAAAAAGAAUACAAACUGCGCCGCAGCUAUAUUCUUUCAUAGACAGUAAAGUUUCUAGGGUCAAAAGCAACUCAAAAAUAAAAGUCCAGCCAACAACUGCUUUUCGAAGACGGCCUGGAGCCACUCGUGGAGGUUCAAGAAUCCCUUCAGGAAGACCACCUUGUGGCAAACGUAGUAGCCAAAAUGCUGUCAAAGGUAGUGGUAAAAGUAGUGGAAAACGAAAACAUAACAUAAGUUUAAAUAUAUCUUUAAAUCAACGAAACGCAAUUAUCCAUGGUCGCGCGCAUUAAAUACAUAAUAUGUACAAAAGUAAUAAAAAAUAUUGUUUAGAUUUUU